rnacentral:rRNA from 1 species
UACGUAGGGUGCGAGCGUUAAUCGGAAUUACUGGGCGUAAAGCGUGCGUAGACGGUUAUUUAAGUCGGGUGUGAAAGCCCCGGGCUCAACCUGGGAAUUGCAUUCGAGACUGAAUAGCUAGGGUACGGUAGAGGGAAGUGGAAUUUCCGGGUGUAGCGGUGAAAUGCGUAGUAUAUCGGAAGGAACAUCAGUGGCGAAAGCGACUUCCUGGACCAGUACCGACGUUCAGGCACGAAAGCGUGGGGAGCAAACAGGAU